CGGGGAUUACACGGCGAUGCGAUUUCGGUCAAAUCAAGUGCAAUCUUAGUGGCGGACGGGUGAGUAACGCGUGGGUAACCUGCCUUGCACUGGGGGAUAACACUUAGAAAUAGGUGCUAAUACCGCAUAAGCGCACGGUCCUGCAUGGGACAGUGUGAAAAACUCCGGUGGUGCAGAUGGACCCGCGUCUGAUUAGCUGGUUGGCGGGGUAAAGGCCCACCAAGGCGACGAUCAGUAGCCGGCCUGAGAGGGUGGACGGCCACAUUGGGACUGAGACACGGCCCAAACUCCUACGGGAGGCAGCAGUGGGGGAUAUUGGACAAUGGGGGGAACCCUGAUCCAGCGACGCCGCGUGAGUGAAGAAGUAUUUCGGUAUGUAAAGCUCUGUCAGCAGGGAAGAAAGCAAUGACGGUACCUGACCAAGAAGCCCCGGCUAACUACGUGCCAGCAGCCGCGGUAAUACGUAGGGGGCAAGCGUUAUCCGGAAUUACUGGGUGUAAAGGGAGCGUAGACGGCUGUGCAAGUCUGGAGUGAAAGGCGGGGGCCCAACCCCCGGACUGCUCUGGAAACUGUAUGGCUGGAGUGCAGGAGAGGUAAGCGGAAUUCCUAGUGUAGCGGUGAAAUGCGU
rnacentral:rRNA from 1 species